UGACAAUGGGUCCGGCAUGUGCAAAGCUGGCUUUGCCGGCGACGACUCCCCCAGGGCCGUGUUCCCCUCCAUUAUGGGGGGCCCAUCGAGCAUGGCAUCGUCACCAACUGGGAUGACAUGGAGAAGAUCUGGCACCAUACCUUCUACAAUGAGCUGCGCGUGGCCCCCGAGGAGCACCCGGUGCUGCUGACGGAGGCCCCCCUGAACCCCAAGGCCAACAGAGAGAUGACUCAGAUCAUGUUCGAGACCUUCAACACAUCGGCCAUGUAUGUGGCCAUCCAGGCUGUGCUGUCCCUGUACGCCUCUGGACGCACCACUGGUAUUGUCAUGGACUCUGGUGACGGGGUCACCCACACGGUACCCAUCUAUGAGGGCUACGCCCUUCCCCACGCCAUCCUGCGUCUGGACCUGGCUGGCUGGGACCUGACAGACUACCUCAUGAAGAUCCUGACAGAGCGCGGCUACAGCUUUACCACCAUGGCCGAGCGGGAGAUCAUGCGCGACAUCAAGGAGAAGCUGUGCUACGUUGCCCCGGACCUCGAGCAGGAGAUGGCCACUGCUGCAUCCUCCUCCUCCCUGGAUUAGAGCUACGAGCUACCCGAUGGGCAGGUGAUCACCAUCGGCAACGAGUGGUUCCGGUGUCCAGAGUCACUCUUCCAGCCCUCUUUCCUGGAUAUGGAAUCUUCCAGCAUCCACGAGACCACCUUCAACUCCAUCAUGAAGUGUGAUGUCGACAUCCGCAAAGACCUCUAUGCCAACACGGUGCUGUCGGGCGGCACCACCAUGUACCCAGGCAUCGCUGACAGGAUGCAGAAAGAGAUCACAGCCCUGGCCCCCAGCACCAUGAAGAUCAAGAUCAUCGCGCCCCCCUGAGCGCAAGUACUCUGUGUUGAUCGGUGGCUCCAUCCUGGCCUCACUGUCCACCUUCCAGCAGAUGUGGAUCAGCAAGCAGGAGUACGACGAGUCGGGCCCCUCCAUUGUCCACCGCAAAUGCUUCUAGAUGGACUGAGCAGGUGCCAGGCACCUGCUGCAUGAGCUGAAUCUGAAAUAUAAAUUUUCUCUGGCAAAUGUAUACACCUCAUGCUAGCCUCAUGAAACUGGAAUAAGCCUUUGAAAAGAAAUUGUCCUUGAAGCUUGUAUCUGAUGUCAGCACUGGAACGUAGAACUCGUUGCUGAUUUUGACCUUGUAUUCAAGUUAACUGUUCCCUUGGUAUAUGUUUAAUGCCCUGUGCAUAUCUUUGAUUUAAGCCUUUAGUCCAUGUGGCUCGGUCACCUGGUACCUGAGGUGAGAGCGUGCA